rnacentral:rRNA from 1 species
UACAGAGGGUGCAAGCGUUGUUCGGAAUCAUUGGGCGUAAAGCGCGUGUAGGCGGUUCGGUAAGUCUGCUGUGAAAGUCGGGGGCUCAACCCUCGAAUGCCGGUGGAUACUGUCGGACUAGAGUACGGAAGAGGCGAGUGGAAUUCCUGGUGUAGCGGUGAAAUGCGCAGAUAUCAGGAGGAACACCAAUGCGAAGGCAGCUCGCUGGGACGUUACUGACGCUGAGACGCGAAAGCGUGGGGAGCAAACAGG